rnacentral:rRNA from 1 species
UACGAAGGGGGCUAGCGUUGCUCGGAAUUACUGGGCGUAAAGGGCGCGUAGGCGGUACUUCAAGUCAGGCGUGAAAGCCCCGGGCUCAACCUGGGAACCGCGCUUGAGACUGGAGAACUAGAGUUCGGGAGAGGAUGGUGGAAUUCCCAGUGUAGAGGUGAAAUUCGUAGAUAUUGGGAAGAACACCGAUGGCGAAGGCAGCCAUCUGGACCGACACUGACGCUGAGGCGCGAAAGCGUGGGGAGCAAACAGG